rnacentral:lncRNA from 10 species
GAGACUCCAUCUCAAAAGAAAAGAAAAGAAAAGAAAAACCCCAUCUGUACUAAAAAUACGAAAGUUAGCCAGGCAUGGUGGUGCGGGCCUGUAAUCCCAGCUACUCAGGGGGCUGAGGCAGGAGAAUUGGUUGAGCCCGGGAGGUGGAGCUUGCAGUGAGCCGAGAUGGCGCCACUGCACUCCAGCCUGGGUGACAGAGCGAGACCCCGCCUUCCCCCCGCCCCCCAAAAAAUUACACCGUUCACAGGAAUAAGCUGCAAAUGGAUCAGGGAUCUAAAUGUGGACAAAACGUGCACACGGCACACAGGGCAGACGGGACCUAGAUGACGACAGAUCUGCGUGUUUGGGCUCUGUUUGAAACAGACCUCAGCCAGAGUCUUGAAGAGCAGAACCCGGAGUGUUGAAGUCACAAGAGAUCAACAUCCCUACGGUGUGAAAUCCUGAAAACGGCAAAUCCCAAAGGACGAAACGCCCGAAAAUGAUGUCAUCCUUUAAGUGUUUUCUUCUUUUUUCUUUUCUUUUUCUUUUCUUUUCUUUUUUUUUUUUUUUUUGAGUCAGGAUCUCGCUCUGUCGCCCAGGCUGCAGUGCAGUGCCGCUAUCGUGGCUCACUGCAGCCUCAGCCUCCUGGGCUCGAGUGGUCCUCCCACCAGAGCCUCCCACACUGCUGGGAUUACAGGCACCAACCACCUUGCGCAGCUAGAGAGUAAUUUUUAAACUUCUUUAAAAGACAGUUAGACUGGACAUGGUGGCUCACGACGGGAAUCCCAGCAAUUUGGGAGCUCAAGCUGGGGGGAUCGCUAGAGUCCAGGAGUUUGAGACCAGCCUGGGAAACAGGGAGACCGUGUCUCUACGAAAAAAAGUUUAAAAAAUUAGCCGGAUGUGGUGGCUCACGCCUGUGCUUCCAGGUAUUCUGGAGGCUGAGGCAGGAGAAUGGCGUGAACCCGGGAGGCG